UUUUCUCAAAAAAAAUAUCUCUCCCCAGGAGAGGACAAAAGAUUUUCAGUGUAUCCUAAUUACUUGGGGGAGAGAGGGGGGGGGCCUAUAAAAAAAGACCGAAAUGUCUCCCCAAGUAUUUUCCAAGGGAAAACUAUAACCCCCGUGGGGGUAUUUGGAACAAUUAACCCCACCCUAAUCCCAAUUGCUAAAGGCAUGCCCAUCCAGGCCUGUUUUUAGUAUGGGGGGAAGGUCCCAAGGCACGAAAAACGACUUAAGGGGUUGGCCCACCGGGAUGGACCCGGCCAGAUUCUACGGAGGCACCGUUAGGAUUUUGGCCAUGACGAAGUUCGACCGAGCACGCCGCCUGAGUGAAGGAAGGUUUCGGAUCGUAAGCUCUGUUGUAAGAGAAGAACGAGUGUGAGAGUGAAAGUUCACACUGUGACGGUAUCUUACCAGAAAGGGACGGCUAACUACGUGCCAGCAGCCGCGGUAAUACGUAGGUCCCGAGCGUUGUCCGGAUUUAUUGGGCGUAAAGCGAGCGCAGGCGGUUAGAUAAGUCUGAAGUUAAAGGCUGUGGCUUAACCAUAGUACGCUUUGGAAACUGUUUAACUUGAGUGCAAGAGGGGAGAGUGGAAUUCCAUGUGUAGCGGUGAAAUGCGUAGAUAUAUGGAGGAACACCGGUGGCGAAAGCGGCUCUCUGGCUUGUAACUGACGCUGAGGCUCGAAAGCGUGGGGAGCAAACAGG
rnacentral:rRNA from 1 species